rnacentral:misc_RNA from 1 species
GUAGGUGAACCUGCGGAAGGAUCAUUACCUAGAGUUGUAGGCUUUGCCUGCUAUCUCUUACCCAUGUCUUUUAAGUACCUUCGUUUCCUCGGCGGGUUCGCCCGCCGAUUGGACAAUUUAAACCAUUUGCAGUUGCAAUCAGCGUCUGAAAAAACUUAAUAGUUACAACUUUCAACAACGGAUCUCUUGGUUCUG